UACGUAGGGCGCAAGCGUUAUCCGGAAUUAUUGGGCGUAAAGAGCUCGUAGCGGUUUGUCGCGUCUGCCGUGAAAGUCCGGGGCUCAACUCCGGAUCUGCGGUGGGUACGGGCAGACUAGAGUGAUGUAGGGGAGACUGGAAUUCCUGGUGUAGCGGUGAAAUGCGCAGAUAUCAGGAGGAACACCGAUGGCGAAGGCAGGUCUCUGGGCAUUAACUGACGCUGAGGAGCGAAAGCGUGGGGAGCGAACAGG
rnacentral:rRNA from 1 species